AUGAACGCUGGCGGCGUGCCUAAUACAUGCAAGUCGAGCGAACAGACGAGGAGCUUGCUCCUCUGACAUUAGCGGCGGACGGGUGAGUAACACGUGGAUAACCUACCUAUAAGACUGGGAUAACUUCGGGAAACCGGAGCUAAUACCGGAUAAUAUAUUGAACCGCAUGGUUCAAUAGUGAAAGACGGUUUUGCUGUCACUUAUAGAUGGAUCCGCGCCGCAUUAGCUAGUUGGUAAGGUAACGGCUUACCAAGGCGACGAUGCGUAGCCGACCUGAGAGGGUGAUCGGCCACACUGGAACUGAGACACGGUCCAGACUCCUACGGGAGGCAGCAGUAGGGAAUCUUCCGCAAUGGGCGAAAGCCUGACGGAGCAACGCCGCGUGAGUGAUGAAGGUCUUCGGAUCGUAAAACUCUGUUAUUAGGGAAGAACAAAUGUGUAAGUAACUAUGCACGUCUUGACGGUACCUAAUCAGAAAGCCACGGCUAACUACGUG
rnacentral:rRNA from 1 species